AGUUUUAUCAUUAAUA
rnacentral:sRNA from 1 species